GAUGAACGCUGGCGGCGUGCCUAAUACAUGCAAGUCGAGCGAACAGACGAGGAGCUUCUCCCCUGGAGUUAGGCGGCGGCGGGGUAAGUAACCCGGGGUAAACCUACUUAAAGACAUGGAUUAAUUUGGGAAAACCGAGCAAAAACCCGAUAAACAGUUUAAACCCAUGGUUUCACAGUGAAAGAACGUUCUUCUGUCACCUAUUGACGGAUCCCCGCCGCAUUUGCUAGGUGGUAAGGUAACCGCUUACCCAGGCAACGAUGCGUAGCCGACCUGAGAGGGUGAUCGGCCACACUGGAACUGAGACACGGUCCAGACUCCUACGGGAGGCAGCAGUAGGGAAUCUUCCGCAAUGGGCGAAAGCCUGACGGAGCAACGCCGCGUGAGUGAAGAAGGUCUUCGGAUCGUAAAACUCUGUUAUUAGGGAAGAACAAAUGUGUAAGUAACUAUGCACGUCUUGACGGUACCUAAUCAGAAAGCCACGGCUAACUACGUG
rnacentral:rRNA from 1 species